rnacentral:rRNA from 1 species
GACGUAGGGCGCAAGCGUUGUCCGGAUUUAUUGGGCGUAAAGAGCUCGUAGGCGGCUUGUUGCGUCGUCCGUGAAAACCCGCAGCUCAACUGCGGGCUUGCGGACGAUACGGGCAGGCUGGAGUUCGGUAGGGGAGACUGGAAUUCCUGGUGUAGCGGUGAAAUGCGCAGAUAUCAGGAAGAACACCCGUGGCGAAGGCGGCUCUCUGGGACGGUACUGACGCUGAGACGCGAAAGCGUGGGGAGCGAACAGG